UAGGGAAUCUUCCGCAAUGGGCGAAAGCCUGACGGAGCAACGCCGCGUGAGUGAUGAAGGUCUUCGGAUCGUAAAACUCUGUUAUUAGGGAAGAACAAAUGUGUAAGUAACUAUGCACGUCUUGACGGUACCUAAUCAGAAAGCCACGGCUAACUACGUGCCAGCAGCCGCGGUAAUACGUAGGUGGCAAGCGUUAUCCGGAAUUAUUGGGCGUAAAGCGCGCGUAGGCGGUUUUUUAAGUCUGAUGUGAAAGCCCACGGCUCAACCGUGGAGGGUCAUUGGAAACUGGAAAACUGGAGUGCAGAAGAGGAAAGUGGAAUUCCAGGUGUAGCGGUGAAAUGCGCAGAGAAAUGGAGGAACACCAGUGGAGAAGGCGACUUUCUGGUCUGUAACUGACGCUGAUGUGCGAAAGCGGGGGGAUCAAACAGG
rnacentral:rRNA from 1 species